rnacentral:rRNA from 2 species
CGGCGCCGAGUGAUGACCGCUAUUAUUGGGCCUAACGCGUCCGUAGCUGGCCAUGCAAGUCCAUCGGGAAAUCCGCGCGCUUAACGCGCGGGCGUCCGGUGGAAACUGCAUGGCUUGGGACCGGAAGACCAGAGGGGUACGUCCGGGGUAGGAGUGAAAUCCCGUAAUCCUGGACGGACCACCGGUGGCGAAAGCGCCUCUGGAAGACGGAUCCGACGGUGAGGGACGAAAGCUCGGGUCACGAACCGGAUUAGAUACCCGGGUAGUCCGAGCUGUAAACGAUGUCUGCUAGGUGUGGCACAGGCUACGAGCCUGUGCUGUGCCGCAGGGAAGCCGUGAAGCAGACCGCCUGGGAAGUACGUCCGCAAGGAUGAAACUUAAAGGAAUUGGCGGGGGAGCACUACAACCGGAGGAGCCUGCGGUUUAAUUGGACUCAACGCCGGACAUCUCACCAGCAUCGACAAUGUGCAGUGAAAGUCAGGUUGAUGACCUUACUGGAGCCAUUGAGAGGAGGUGCAUGGCCGCCGUCAGCUCGUACCGUGAGGCGUCCUGUUAAGUCAGGCAACGAGCGAGACCCGCACUCCUAAUUGCCAGCAACACCUAGCGGUGGUUGGGUACAUUAGGAGGACUGCCAGUGCCAAACUGGAGGAAGGAACGGGCAACGGUAGGUCAGUAUGCCCCGAAUGUGCUGGGCGACACGCGGGCUACAAUGGCCGAGACAGUGGGAUGCAACCCCGAAAGGGGGCGCUAAUCUCCGAAACUCGGUCGUAGUUCGGAUUGAGGGCUGAAACUCGCCCUCAUGAAGCUGGAUUCGGUAGUAAUCGCGCCUCAGAAGGGCGCGGUGAAUACGUCCCUGCUCCUUGCACACACCGCCCGUCAAAGCACCCGAGUGGGGUCCGGAUGAGGCCGAGCGCAACGUCGGUCGAAUCUGGGCUCCGCCAAGGGAC